AGAGAUUGAAAGAAAAAGAAUGUGUGAGAGAGAGAACGAGAGAGAGAGAGAGAGAGAGAUUGAAAGAAAAAGAAAAAAGAAUAUUAAAUGGAGAUAGAUGGAACUAACUAAAGAGUGAGUGAUAUUAAGUGAGAAAGAGAGUAAGAGAAAAAGAGAGAGAGAGAGAGAGAGAGAUGGAUAUAGCCAAGAAAGAAAGAAAGAAAAAAAAAGAGA